AAAGGCAGUGAGCGUCUUUCCUUGGGCUGCGUGUGCCGAGCGUAGACAAUGAAAAUCUUCAUCCCCCUCCCCCAUUCUACUAGGCUACAAGAUUCUUGUUUUCGUUCCUUCUCACCGGUGGAAGAUGUGUAAAAUCAAAGAUGUAGAGGUGUGUAGUGAUUUUUUUAAAAGCCAACUAACCACCGCACGGACUGCGACGCGGAUUACCCGAGCGCACGCCGGCUGGGCGCAUUCUGGGGUCUCUGCGCAAGACCAGCUCUCAGCUCUCUCUCCUUUCCUCGGACUCUGGAGCGGGAGCGGGCCUUUCCCUCGGGUCGACCACGCCGUAGGGGACGCCGUGAAAAGAGCCGUCGCGCCCGCUGCCUCCUGCCCGCUGCGCAGAGGGCUCCGCCCGUAGAGGUCAACUUCCCUCACCCUUUUCUCUCUCCUGCUUGCCCUCCCUCCGCCCGGCCCAGGCGCUUCCAGCCCCAGACUGUGGCCACUGGCUGAGGAGUGCGAGUCGGCUGCGCUGCCCUGAGCCUAAUCCCUCUUCCGGGCCCAGACCCGAGGUCCGCGCUCCUGGGCAGUGGGGAAGCUUUAGUGAGCAGGCUUUUCUCUCCGCAGCAAACUUGUAGCCAGACCAGAUGGGCCGCCCAGCUCUCUCGGGACUAGGCAGGUGCGGAUGAGUUAAUUUUUCCGCAUUACAAAGAAAGAUGACCCAGCCCGCCCUUGGACUCUCUUUUCCCAAAAUCUCCCAACCAAACCCGCGGUAACGUUAUCAAAGGACACAGAGCCCAGGCAUAUCUGUGUGUUUAUCUUACAGGCACACACGCAUGGUUUUCUCUUUUAUAUGCUAGAUUUCAUCCCUGACAGCAGAAAAUGAUUGGCAAUGGUUAUGACGGAGAACAUGCAAUAGCGUGGUCCUUAAAAACCUGCCAUUCCUUACAAGUGCCUUAGAAAGGAUUCAGGGCGAACCAACUGGGUUAAUUGCAUUCAGUAAAAUAACACGAUUACAAAAUUA
rnacentral:lncRNA from 1 species